rnacentral:lncRNA from 1 species
CCAUUUGGAAAGGCCUCCUGGAAAAGGCGGUGGAAAGGAGAGGAAACACCGGUUUUGGAGCUCUGUUCCCAUUCCUGUGGUUUAUGCUGGCCUGGGCCCUUAGAUUUAAUUCUCUUAGAACUUUUUAUGAGUUAGUAAAUAUGGGUUUUAUCACCCAUUCUGGGGUGGUUUCACAGGGGAGAAAGGGUGGGUCUAUACGACCUUGGCUACCCCUAGACUCUAGUUAGUCUGAGACUCUUCCAGGGUAACUUGUAGGUUGAAGUCAGUUUUUAAUACCCUCCUUCAAAGACAAAGCCAGAACCCUAGGAAGUUUCAACUCUAUUACAAUGUACUUGACUUGAAACUGUCACUAAACGCUGAUAGUCAUAAAAUGCAGAGCAAGCCAGUGAGCGAGCAAGCAUGCAGGAGUGAGCAAGCCACAUCUGUUGAACGGUGAACCCCAAGAGUUCACUUACCCCAAUUCCCUCCACAAAAGAUUUCUAUUGCACGAAAGUGUCCGGGAGUUGGGUUGUCACCAGCUGGGCAGUAUCAUUCCCCUGGGAUGGGAGAACUCAGCGUGGAUCCAUAUUGAGCUUCUCAAAUGAUCUAGUGUGGAUGCAAAUUCAGUUGCUUCCUGGAUGACAGAAAUCCACACUGGCAUCUCCCAGCAGGGGCCUGAACCACUGCCCACAUCCUCCCUGACUCCUCCGCUGAUGGCCCCUCUGCCUCUGGCAGCACCACCUCAGCCUCCAUCUGCUUUCCUCUCGGCCCUGCUCCCAGAAGAAAGCAGUCAGGCUAAAGGGCUACAAGAUAUUUGCUGUCAGGCUGUUGCCUGAGGCUCUGACACCUUGGAGGGAACUUCCAAUGCUGCAUGGGGUCUUCUUAACCCAGAGCAGAGGUGAACUUAUCUGAAAUUGGGAAGAGAUGCCAUAGGCUCCCUCUUGCCUUCCAGACCUGGGAGGCAGGCUGCCUUCCCAGAUUCCACCGCCUUUGCCCUCCUCCAGCCCUGCUGCGUCUCUCUCUUCCUUCCAGCCCCGGGGCCUGGCUCCUCGGGUGCCCAGGAG